rnacentral:ncRNA from 1 species
UAUAUAUAUAAUUUAUAAUUUAUUUUAUUAUAAAAUUUUAUUUAAUUAAAAAAAUAUAUGAAAAUUUUUUUUUGUUAAUUUAUUUCUUAAUGAAUUUUAAUUAUUCUCAGUAUUAAAUAUUAAAUAUUAAAGAAAUUUAGAUUUAAUUAUUAAUUUUAGUAUAGACUAAAUAUGUGCCAGCAGUUGCGGUUAAACUUAUUAUACUAAUAAAAUAGUUUGGUUAUUAGUAUUUUAAUAAUUUUUGUAAUUUAAUUUUUAAUUAUUUAGGUAAAAUUUAAUUUAAAAUUAUUUUUAUAAUUAUAUUAUUCUAUUAAAUUUUAUUUGAAACUAGGAUUAGAUACCCUAUUAUAAAAAUUUAAAAUAAUUACUAAAAGAUUAAUAGUUAUGUUCUUUAAAUUUAAAAAAUUUGGCGGUAUUUUAAGUCUUAUUAGAGGAACCUGUUUUUUAAUUGAUAAUCCACGAUUAAUUUUACUUAUAUUUUAAAUUUAUAUAUCGCUGUCAAGAAUAUAUUAAAAAAUUAUUUUCUUUAAUUAUUUUAAUAAUUUAUGUUAAGUCAAGAUGUAGUUUAUAUAUAAGAAAAUAAUGGGUUACAUUAAAUUUGAUUUUUUGAAUUUUAAAAUGAAAAAUUUAAAUGAAAUUGGAUUUAAAAGUAAAUUUAAUUAAUUUAUUAAUAUGAAUAAAGAUCUGAAAUAUGUACAUAUUGCCCGUCAUUCUUAUAAAAAGUAAGACAAGUCGUAACAAAGUAAAUGUACUGGAAAGUGUAUUUAGAAAGA